GGCUCUGUGGCGCAGUGGACAAGCGCGUUGGUCUUCUAAUUCAAAGGUUGUGGGUUCGAGUCCCACCAGAGUCG